rnacentral:misc_RNA from 1 species
GAUGAAGAACGUAGCGAAAUGCGAUACUUGGUGUGAAUUGCAGAAUCCCGUGAACCAUCGAGUUUUUGAACGCAAGUUGCGCCCGAAGCCGUUAGGCCGAGGGCACGCCUGCCUGGGUGUCACAUAUCGUUGCCUGAUGCCAGUUUCCUCGUGAUGGGUGACUGUGCAGGGCGAAUGAUGGCUUCCCGUGAGCAUUGUUGCCUCAUGGUUGGUUGAAAAUUGAGUCCUUGGUAGGGAGCGCCGUGAUAGAUGGUGGUUGAGUGACGAACGAGACCCAAUCAUGUGAGACCCCUACCGAAUUUGGCCUUCAUGACCCACAUGCGUCUUUGGAACGCUCAUGACGAGACCUCAGGUCAGGCGGGGCUACCCGCUGAGUUUAAGCAUAUCAAUAAGCGGAGGA